ACAAAGUGAGUUCCAGGACAG
rnacentral:piRNA from 1 species